CCCUUAGAUGUUCUGGGCUGCACGCGCGCUACACUGACAUGUCCAGCGAGCUCCCAACCUGCUCGGCAAAGAAUGGGUACCCUUUUUAACGCAUGUCGUGAUGGGAUAGAUUAUUGCAAUUGUUGAUCCUGAACGAGGAAUUCCUAGUAAGUGCAAGUCAUUAGCUUGUGCUGAAUACGUCCCUGCCCUUUGUACACACCGCCCGUCGCACCUACCGAUUGGAUGGUCCGGUGAAGCCUCGGGAUUGUGGUUCUUGCCGCUUUAUUGUGGCGUGACCGCGAGAACUUGUCUAAACCUUAUCAUCUAGAGGAAGGUGAAGUCGUAACA
rnacentral:rRNA from 1 species